UUCACUUUCAAGGGUCAGAUACAUAUCUUGAGUUUUGGGGCUGAUGUUCCAGAUGCCUAUGUUAAGAUAAGAAGUGGUCCAAGUUCAGAUUUCAUCUGGGCUGAGCAGUGCUUGAGUCACACUUCUUCAGCGGCCUCUCGGGUCUAUUUCAGAUGGCUCUCUUGUCAACGCUGACUCCAUUUUGAUUCUCCUUUUACUUGAAACCUCUCUGCGAAAACUGAGUUCAGACAGACUGAAAAAAUUCAGCAGUCAGUGCAUUCCAUGACAAAUAAUAUGCUGCAGAGACUCAAGUCAGCGUGACAAAAGGAAAAAAAAAGGUAUCAAAGAAUCACUAGUCCCUCUGAACAUCAUACAUUGUGCUGACUCUAUUCUGCUGAGGUUCAGGUGUUGACUGAAUCCCAGGAUGAAGAACCACAGACAUGGAGAAACACACAUGUGCUCAAGAUGCCUAUUUUCCCAGGCUGCUGAUUGCUGAUUCGUUCUCACCUGGAUGUCUGGGGCGGUGGUGCCCACACACCAACUCUCCAUUUGACAGUCAGCACCACUCACACAACACAGCACACAGCACUGCUGACGGGGAUUGCUCUGAGUAAAGCCGCAAAAUAAUGCAAAGAGCGCAGCAGAUGUGUUUGGCUCAGAAACAUCUCAGUAACAAUUUUCUUGCAGAUGGUCAACUCAUGCAUUGUUAAACUAUCAUACGUCGGGGUUUUUAACUGUUUUUCCACAAGAGCAAAUAUAUUUUCAUCAUCUGAAGGCUCAUGCCCAAGUAGAUUUUCCCAAUGGUAUUUGAGGGUUGGACUGAGGCAUGGACAGCAAAGUUAUUGGCACACACUGGGAAUUUCCAGUGCCAGAUAUUAUGGGGUAGAAUUCAGCCCAAAUAUUUCAGCUUCCUCCACUCACCCUCCCUCCCAAACUUACUUCUUGCUAAUUCUUUUGAAAUUAGCUUUUCUAGACUAACACCCCAAAGUUGCCCUUUUGUUGUUAUGAAAUUGCAAACCACUUCAAGGCAAAGCCGCCUCUGAGAAGUACCUGAGAGGCACAUUAUGAACUGCAAAGCUCCCACGGAGCAAUUUAAAAUGAUGAAUAUCCUUUCCAAACAUCUUUUUCAAAAUUGCUCAUGGACUCCAGCCAGUCACAAGACAGAGAUGUGGAGGAUGCAUUCAACUCCCCGUCUGCUUUUCACAUUGCUCAUCGCUGAUUUAUAACUCACGGUAAGUCACUUGGCCACACAAGCAGAGCUGACGGGCAAGCACAGCCCCCAGCAGAUACAGUGUGUAGCUAAGAAAGAAAAGAUGGGUCCCUGGCAUUAUUUUUUCUUUCUCCUACCUGCACCCUGAUGUGACUCACUGAUAUUCCAAGAAGAGUUCUACCCACUAGUCUCAGAAGAAGAAAAACACCAAACCCUGAGAUACA